GCUCCGGUGGCCUAGUGGUUAGAACGUCCGCCUUCGAUGUGGGAGGUCGUGGGUUCGAUCUCCUGCCGAGUA